AGAGUUUGAUCAUGGCUCAGAACGAACGCUGGCGGCGUGGAUAAGACAUGCAAGUCGAACGAGACUUUUCGUUGUAGCAAUACGAUGGAAAGUUUAGUGGCGAACGGGUGCUUAACACGUGGGCAACCUGCCAGGAAGUGGGGGGAUAGCUCGCCGAAAGGCGAAUUAAUACCGCAUGUGAUUAGAGAGGACAUCCUUUCAAAAUUAAAGUCGGGGCAACCUGACGCUUCUUGUGGGGCCCGCGGCCUAUCAGCUAGUUGGUGAGGUAACGGCCCACCAAGGCUUUGACGGGUAGCUGGUCUGAGAGGACGACCAGCCACACUGGGACUGAGACACGGCCCAGACACCUACGGGUGGCAGCAGUCGAGAAUUUUUGACAAUGGGGGAAACCCUGAUCGAGCGACGCCGCGUGGAGGAUGAAGGUCUUCGGAUUGUAAACUCCUGUCAUUGGGGAACAAUGCACAGAUAUUAACUGUAUUUGUGUUGAUAGUACCCGAAGAGGAAGAGACGGCUAACUCUGUGCCAGCAGCCGCGGUAAUACAGAGGUCUCAAGCGUUGUUCGGAUUCAUUGGGCGUAAAGGGUGCGUAGGCGGCGCGGUAAGUCGGGUGUGAAAUCUCGGAGCUUAACUCCGAAACUGCAUUCGAUACUGCCGUGCUUGAGGACUGGAGAGGAGACUGGAAUUUACGGUGUAGCGGUGAAAUGCGUAGAUAUCGUAAGGAAGACCAGUGGCGAAGGCGGNNCUCUGGACAGUUCCUGACGCUGAGGCACGAAGGUCAGGGGAGCAAACGGGAUUAGAUACCCUAGUAGUCC
rnacentral:rRNA from 1 species